rnacentral:rRNA from 1 species
UACGUAGGGUGCGAGCGUUAAUCGGAAUUACUGGGCGUAAAGCGUGCGCAGGCGGUUUUGUAAGCCAGAUGUGAAAUCCCCGGGCUUAACCUGGGAAUGGCAUUUGGGACUGCAAGGCUGGAGUUUGGCAGAGGAGACUGGAAUUCCCGGUGUAGCAGUGAAAUGACGUAGAUAUCGGGAGGAAUACCGAUGGCGAAGGCAGGUCUCUGGGCUAUAACUGACGCUCAUGCACGAAAGCGUGGGGAGCAAACAGG